rnacentral:misc_RNA from 1 species
UUUCCGUAUGUGAACCUGCGGAAGGAUCAUUAACACGUUCCAAAACCUAAUCAACCAAUCUGAGAAUAUGUAUCUGCUGGGAUGAAUGUAUAUGUAAUAUCAUUCAUUUCAGCCCACACAUAUAAAUUAUAUGGAGCUCUUUUGUUCUUAUUGGGCAAAUGUAGUUUCUCCGUAUAAUUUGUAUGUUUUUUUUUCCACGCCCUAGAUGAAGUCCAUCUCGUGAGAGAGCGACGAAUUCUAUUAUAUAUAUCAAUAUCUUAUCUUAUUGCUACAUUCUCAUAGAUUUCAAGUGUCGAUUAGCUAGUAUGUAAAAAUGUUAGCCCGACUGCUAUGUUAUAGUAAUGUAGUCAAUAUAGAACUAAUUAUCUAAUUAAUAAGAACAACUCUUAGCAAUGGAUAUCUUGGUUCUC